CGGGCAUUGGGGGCGGCCUAACCAUGCAGUCGAACGGUAACAGGAAGCAGCUUGCUGCUUUGCUGACGAGUGGCGGACGGGUGAGUAAUGUCUGGGAAACUGCCUGAUGGAGGGGGAUAACUACUGGAAACGGUAGCUAAUACCGCAUAACGUCGCAAGACCAAAGAGGGGGACCUUCGGGCCUCUUGCCAUCGGAUGUGCCCAGAUGGGAUUAGCUAGUAGGUGGGGUAACGGCUCACCUAGGCAACAAUCCCUAGCUGGUCUGAGAGGAUGACCAGCCACACUGGAACUGAAACACGGUCCAAACUCCUACGGGAGGCAGCAGUGGGGAAUAUUGCACAAUGGGCGCAAGCCUGAUGCAGCCAUGCCGCGUGUAUGAAGAAGGCCUUCGGGUUGUAAAGUACUUUCAGCGGGGAGGAAGGGAGUAAAGUUAAUACCUUUGCUCAUUGACGUUACCCGCAGAAGAAGCACCGGCUAACUCCGUGCCAGCAGCCGCGGUAAUACGGAGGGUGCAAGCGUUAGUCGGAAUUACUGGGCGUAAAGCGCACGCAGGCGGUUUGUUAAGUCAGAUGUGAAAUCCCCGGGCUCAACCUGGGAACUGCAUCUGAUACUGGCAAGCUUGAGUCUCGUAGAGGGGGGUAGAAUUCCAGGUGUAGCGGUCAAAUGCAUAGAGAUCUGGGAGGAAUACCGGUGGCGAAGGCGGCCCCCUGGACUAACACUGAUGCUCAGGUGCAAAAUCGUGGGAGCAAAGGGGGAUUAGAUACCCUGGUAGUCCCCCCCCUAAACUAUUUCGACUUGGACGUUGUGCCCUUGAUUCGUGGCCUCCUCGAGCUAACUCGUUUUGUCCACCACCUGAGGAAUACCCCCGGCGUGGGUCAACUCAUAUGAUUUGUCAUGUGCCCACCCCACGCGGGUGGAGCUUUGUCGUUUUAUUAUUUUCACACGAUAUCCCUCCCUGUCUUGACAUCCCCGAAGUUUUUAUAUAUCGAGAUGGUUUCCUUCGGGACAGAUGAGACAGGAGCAGAGUGGAUGUCGUCCGCUCGCUGCCUCGCGAAUGGUAGGGAUAGUACCCCCAACGAGCGUCAUCCUUAAUCCUUGUGGCCGCGUUCGGCCGGACUCGAAGGAAUUCCCUCGAUACCUGGCGAGUGGAUGACGUCAGUCAUCUGACUUGGACUGUUCUCACAGUCUAGAUUGUGCGUCACAGAGAGCA
rnacentral:rRNA from 1 species